CCUAUCUCCCCAGUGGGGCCAGAAGACAGAGGGUUCCGCCCUGGGGCUGCAAUGAGCACCAAACUCCUCUGUGUGGCCUUCAGCCUCCUGUGUGCAGGACACACAGAUGCUGUAGUCACCCAGAUCCCAAGACACAAGAUCACACAGACAGGAAAGAAGGUCACUCUGCGAUGUCACCAAACUGACAACUACAACUAUAUGUACUGGUAUCGGCAAGACCUGGGAUCUGGGCUGAGGCUGAUCCAUUACUCAUAUGGUGUUGGCAGCAUGGAAAAAGGAGACGUCUCUGAUGGGUACAACGUCUCCAGAACGAACACUGAGGACUUCUCCCUCAUCCUGGUGUCAGCCACCACAUCCCAGACAUCUGUGUACUUCUGUGCCAACUCUGACUCCACAGCACUGCACAGCCGCUUCGUGUCUGCACACAAAGGGUGA